UGGUCUAGCGGGAACCCGGGAACUGGGUAUAAUACCCGAUAUGUCUCGAGUGCUGGAAUGCAUCGAGAUCUAAAGCUCCGGCGCCUAAGGAUGGGUCUGCGGCCUAUCAGGUAGUAGUGGGUGUAGCGUACCUACUAGCCUACGACGGGUACGGGUUGUGAGAGCAAGAGCCCGGAGAUGGAUUCUGAGACACGAAUCCAGGCCCUACGGGGUGCAGCAGGCGCGAAAACUUUACAAUGCCGGCAACGGCGAUAAGGGGACCUCGAGUGCCAGGUUACAAAUCUGGCUGUCGUGAUGCCUAAAAAGCAUUGCAUAGCAAGGGCCGGGCAAGACCGGUGCCAGCCGCCGCGGUAACACCGGCGGCUCGAGUGGUAACCGUUAUUAUUGGGUCUAAAGGGUCUGUAGCCGGCCGGAUAAGUCUCUUGGGAAAUCCAGCAGCUCAACUGUUGGGCUUUCAGGAGAUACUGUCUGGCUCGAGGCCGGGAGAGGUGAGAGGUACUUCAGGGGUAGGGGUGAAAUCUUGUAAUCCUUGAAGGACCACCAGUGGCGAAGGCGUCUCACCAGAACGGACCUGACGGCAAGGGACGAAAGCUAGGGGCACGAACCGGAUUAGAUACCCGGGUAGUCCUAGCCGUAAACGAUACUCGCUAGGUGUCGGCCACGGUGCGACCGUUGUCGGUGCCGUAGGGAAGCCGUGAAGCGAGCCACCUGGGAAGUACGGCCGCAAGGCUGAAACUUAAAGGAAUUGGCGGGGGAGCAC
rnacentral:rRNA from 1 species